rnacentral:rRNA from 1 species
UACGUAGGGUGCAAGCGUUGUCCGGAAUUAUUGGGCGUAAAGGGCUCGUAGGCGGUCUGUCACGUCGGGCGUGAAAACUCAGGGCUUAACCCUGAGCCUGCUUCCGAUACGGGCAGACUAGAGGUAUGCAGGGGAGAACGGAAUUCCUGGUGUAGCGGUGAAAUGCGCAGAUAUCAGGAGGAACACCGGUGGCGAAGGCGGUUCUCUGGGCCGAUACUGACGCUGAGGAGCGAAAGCGUGGGGAGCGAACAGG